AGCGAACGCUGGCGGCAGGCCUAAUACAUGCAAGUCGAGCGGGUGUAGCAAUACACCAGCGGCAGACGGGAGAGUAACACGUGGGAACGUGCCCUUCAGUUCGGAACAACCCAGGGAAACUUGGGCUAAUACCGGAUACGUCCGUAAGGAGAAAGAUUUAUCGCUGAAGGAUCGGCCCGCGUCUGAUUAGCUUGUUGGUGAGGUAACGGCUCACCAAGGCGACGAUCAGUAGCUGGUCUGAGAGGAUGAUCAGCCUCACUGGGACUGAGACACGGCCCAGACUCCUACGGGAGGCAGCAGUAGGGAAUAUUGGACAAUGGGCGCAAGCCUGAUCCAGCCAUGCCGCGUGGGUGAUGAAGGCCCUAGGGUUGUAAAGCCCUUUCGGCGGGGAAGAUAAUGACGGUACCCGCAGAAGAAGCCCCGGCUAACUUCGUGCCAGCAGCCGCCGUAACAC
rnacentral:rRNA from 1 species